GAAAACACAAAGACUAAGGAGUCUCAAGACCACAGGACAGUUCAGUAUCAACAUCAUCUUCAACAUAGCUGCCAUUUAUUAAGCACUUUACAUACAUUACCUCUCAUCCUUACAGCAACUUAAAGGCAGGUACUACUAUCUGAAUUUACAGUAACAGCAGCUGAGGCUCUGAGGGCCUCAAUAACUUGCCCAAGACUACACAGAGAACUAUCGUUUGCUCCCUGACUACUGCUUUUCAAGUACUUGAUUGACCCUGUUGUGAAAAGCCCUGUUAACACAGGUGAUACUGAAAAUGUUGAUGACUCUUCACUAUGCUGUGUUUGAUUCCACAUGGGAUAGCCUAACUUCUGUCAGCCCAAGGUCUUAAAGAAAUAAAACUAAUGACAAAGAAUA